rnacentral:rRNA from 1 species
GAUGAACGCUGGCGGCGUGCCUAAUACAUGCAAGUCGAGCGAACGGACGAGAAGCUUGCUUCUCUGAUGUUAGCGGCGGACGGGUGAGUAACACGUGGAUAACCUACCUAUAAGACUGGGAUAACUUCGGGAAACCGGAGCUAAUACCGGAUAAUAUUUUGAACCGCAUGGUUCAAAAGUGAAAGACGGUCUUGCUGUCACUUAUAGAUGGAUCCGCGCUGCAUUAGCUAGUUGGUAAGGUAACGGCUUACCAAGGCAACGAUGCAUAGCCGACCUGAGAGGGGGAUCAGACACACUGGAACUGAGACACGGUCCAGACUCCUACGGGAGGCAGCAGUGGGGAAUCUUCGACAAGGGGCGAAAGCCGGAGGCAGCCAGGCCGCGGGAGGGAGGAAGGUCUUCGGAUGGUAAAACUCUUUUAUGAGGGAGAAACAUAAGUGAAGGAAUAUGUGCACGUCUUGACGGUACAAAAAAAAAAAGCAACGGCUAACUGCGUG